GACGAACGCUGGCGGCGCGCCUAACACAUGCAAGUCGAACGAGAGAGAAGAAGCUUGCUUCUUCGAUCGAGUGGCGAACGGGUGAGUAACGCGUGAGGAACCUGCCUCAAAGAGGGGGACAACAGUUGGAAACGACUGCUAAUACCGCAUAAGCCCACGGGUCGGCAUCGACCAGAGGGAAAAGGAGCAAUCCGCUUUGAGAUGGCCUCGCGUCCGAUUAGCUAGUUGGUGAGGUAAUGGCCCACCAAGGCGACGAUCGGUAGCCGGACUGAGAGGUUGAACGGCCACAUUGGGACUGAGACACGGCCCAGACUCCUACGGGAGGCGGCAGUGGGGAAUAUUGCACAAUGGGGGAAACCCUGAUGCAGCGACGCCGCGUGGAGGAAGAAGGUCUUCGGAUUGUAAACUCCUGUUGUUGAGGAAGA
rnacentral:rRNA from 1 species